ensembl:lncRNA
AUAGCGUGUCUUGCUCGCCAAACUCAUACAGUGGAUGUGAGAAGAGACUACUGUAUCACUGACAAUGAGGUUUGUUGUUGUCUGAAGGAGCGCUAUGAGUCUGUGGUGAAGAAGACCUUAGAGAAGUGCCAGAGGGCCAAACAGAGACUGAGCCAGGGCUCUCGAGGAAGGAAGACCAACAACAAGAGCGUUCCUCGCAGCUCUCCCCUGACUGCCUGGGAGAGGGCUCUGGUCUGUCGCCUCCUAACCCCUACAUGCUCCUACCUAGCCAGGAGAAGGAGUCAUAGUUGUCAGUCAAGAGAAGAGGAAGUUGUCCAUGUUUGUCCCCGUUCAGCUUCAUGCCACUCCAUACCUGCCACUGCCACCAACUGUCAUAAAUCACCACACCGCUCUGGCACACCUGACCACCACCGGGUGCAGGCAGGCCUCCAGGCAGACUACCGCUCUGGCACACCUGACCACCACCGGGUGCAGGCAGGCCUCCAGGCAGACUACCGCUCUGGCACACCUGACCACCACCGAGUGCAGGCAGGCCUCCAGGCAGACUACCGCUCUGGCACACCUGACCACCACCGGGUGCAGGCAGGCCUCCAGGCAGACUACCGCUCUGGCACACCUGACCACCAUCGGGUGCAGGCAGGCCUCCAGGCAGACUACCGCUCUGGCACACCUGACCACCACCGGGUGCGGGCAGACUACCGCUCUGGCACACCUGACCACCACCGGGCACAAUCAGACUUCCAGGCAAAUCUCCGGGCAGACUACCGGUCUAUCAUCUGGGCAAACUACCAGCUGAAAGCAGCACAGCAGAAGGAGAGUGAGAGGACGUUCAGGAGGAAUAGACAGCAGCCUCACAUACCCAAUGCUCCCGUGAAAGUGUUACCCACAAACAUACAGAGCAGAGAUGCAGUGCCCUCUCCAGAACGUAAACCUGUGAUCAGACACAAACCUGUGAUCAGACAGCCUCCAUCACAGCCGGUUGGGCUGGAACUGUACCCUGUUCCAGAGGAGGAUGGUCCUCCAGUCUCCAACCAAACCCUCUCACCUGGGAACUCACGGCCCAGCCAGACCAUCUCUCCUUGGGCUCCAGUCUCCAAUCACACCCUCUCCCCUGGGAACUCACGGCCCAGCCAGACCAUCUCUCCUUGGGCUCCAGUCUCCAACCAAACCCUCUCCCCUGGGAACUCACGGCCCAGCCAGACCAUCUCUCCUUGGGCUCCAGUCUCCAACCAAACCCUCUCCCCUGGGAACUCACGGCCCAGCCAGACCAUCUCUCCUUGGGCUCCAGUCCCCAAUCAUACCCUCUCCCCCGGGAACUCACAACCAAUCAGCAUCUCAGCAGCAGCAUGGGACCAGGUCCAACCAUUCGUAGGCUCAGCAGAACCUCAGACAUUCCCCACACCUAGAACUGAGGGCGAUACAGGCCCCCUUCCUGGAGCCCCCUCCUGCACCAGGCCGUCUGCUGGCACCAUGGAUCCAGAGGAGGCCUCAUGUCUUCUGGCCGAGAAGAGAAGAGAGGCCCGUCUGAAGAGAGAGAGAGAGCAGGAGGAAUGCCUGCGCAGGGAGGAGAUAGAGAGGUACAGACAGAGGGCCACCUUACAUCUUCCCAUCUGUCUUCUACUGACCCAACAUUCACCUUCCCAGUAG